CCCUACGGGAGGCAGCAGUGGGGGAUAUUGCACAAUGGGGGAAACCCUGAUGCAGCAACGCCGCGUGGGUGAAGGAGCGUUUCGGCGCGUAAAGCCCUGUCAGCGGGGAAGAAGAAAGACGGUACCCGACCAAGAAGCCCCGGCUAACUACGUGCCAGCAGCCGCGGUAAUACGUAGGGGGCGAGCGUUAUCCGGAAUUACUGGGUGUAAAGGGAGCGUAGACGGCUGUGCAAGUCUGGAGUGAAAGGCGGGGGCCCAACCCCCGGACUGCUCUGGAAACUGUAUGGCUGGAGUGCAG
rnacentral:rRNA from 1 species